GCGCGUCGUGGACGGCGGCACGUCCAGCGGCCUGUAAAGCCGCCACCUUCGGGUAGACCUGGGUCGGCACCAGGGGCGCGCACCA
rnacentral:tRNA from 1 species